AAGAGCACAAAUUUCUCUUUCAAGGUGUCUUCCAUCAACUAAAAUUACAAAGAUUUUUUUAUAAUAGUUAGAUAGAGAGAAAAAGUGAGUCAGAGAAUUAAGGUCAUCUCCAAAGGGUCUCUCAAUCACGCUAUGACUGCAUCAUCUUAGAACGGUAUGUAGCUCUAACUUUCUGUUGUCUUUUUUUUCUUAAGAUAUGUUAAAUUCAAUAAAAAAUGAUUUUCGCAUAA
rnacentral:lncRNA from 1 species